rnacentral:misc_RNA from 1 species
GUGAAUCAUCAAAUCUUUGAACGCACAUUGCACUCCCUGGUAUUCCGGGGAGUAUGCCUGUUUGAGGGUCGUUAGAAGAAAAAUCGUAGCAUCGCUCUUUUUUCGCGGGUGAUCGCGUCGGACUUAAGCCGUCUUUCAAAUGUUACUUCAUGUCAAAGUGGCUUAAACUUCAUUCAUCCGGUACGAAUAAGACGCAUUCAAGAUCAAUUU